GUACAGAGUAGGGAGAGCAGUUCCCUUUGGUCUCAAGUGCUGCCCUCUGUGUCAAGGGAGCCCCCUGAAAGGAGAAGGAAUUUGCUUAUCUUCCAAGAUCAACCAAGAUCAGCAUAAAAAACACCUUGUGCCCUCCAGGAAUGUCCUGCAUGUGUUGCCAGAACUGGAAGACAAAAGGCAAGUGAAGGUGCAAGCCAGCAAACUGGGAACUUGCAGAUGAAGGGCAGAAUCAAGAGAGCCUUGGGCUAACAGGGUAUUUGUGCAUGCAGGAGGGAAGAGCUGCCCAGCUGAGAUUUAGCAGUGAUAGGAGAAAAGGAAUUUCUCUGUGUUCCUAAGGGAGGACUGGGACUUGGAUUUUAGCCAACCCACAAACCAUUGAGUAUGGUUGGACUGCAAAGAGCAAAGGAAAAGUCACAUGUUGCCAAGACUCAACAAUAACUUCCUUUUUAGGACUUUUGUUUUAUCUGGCUCAUCCUGCACAGCUGUUUUCUCCCUAAUUACUUAGUUCUUCACUCCUGUGUAAUGCAUUAUAAGUGAGUUAAGUCUAGAUGUUUGAGGGCAUGUCUUUGUACUUCUUCUUCAAGGAAAGUGAGAGCAAUUCUACUUUUCAAUUUGGAGUCCCAUCACACAGCAAUAUGGAUCUGUUCUGACUAUCUAUGAAGCAACCUGGAGUCAUUCUGGUUCUGUAGUUGCCUUUUCUGUCUUGGCUCCAAGGGGAAAGGACAACGUCUAUUGGUUGACCUGCUCAUCACAGUACAUUUACUAUAUUCUUUGUAGGAUAAAAUACCAAAGCGGGUUGUUGUUGUUCCUUGGAUCCUUGGAAACUUUUUUUUUUUUUUUUUUUUUUUUUUUUUUAAUAAAAAGCAUUCCUGUUUGUAAUCCCUGAAUUCCAACAGUGAAGAAUGUCUACAAAGAUAUUCCUUCGAUGUAAAAUUCAGUGCAUUGUUUGAAUUAUAUGUUUUAAUGAGGCCCAGGGAGACAAGAUUAAGAAUGAACCAUUAAUUGAACAAUGCUUAUUCUGUGCAAUAAAUGAGAUGCACUCUACGGAAAAAAAAAAUAA
rnacentral:lncRNA from 1 species